GUACCAACUAAGGGGGGUCCGCCAGACACUGUCUGGAGCGGGCUGAGAGUGGGAAUUUCUCCCAGACCCUUUGAACCUGACGCAGCUCAUACUGCCGUAGGGAUAGUUGCCGCUGAUUGC
rnacentral:ncRNA from 1 species